AGACAAUGACAAGAAGCAUUACAAACACAACAAACAUAUAGUGGUUCGGUGCACCCCAGCACCUACAUCCACUCUCCAAGACCUCUUGGGAAUUUCACUAUAAUCCUACAGAUUACAGCCGGUUGUUUUACAAGCUCACAAUCCAACUUGUUGUUUUACGAGCGCACAACGAACUCGGUCGGUUUUCCCAGGCUCACCGACUAGAACCACCCCAAUUGUUUUUCCGGGAUCACAAUCAAACCCUUACACCGUUGGUUUCGACCUAGGCUCACCAACAAACCUCUCACCGUUGGUUUUCCCUUUGGCUCACCAACAAACCUUAACCCCUUGAUUCAAUCCCUUGAUUGAAUCAAGUUA
rnacentral:lncRNA from 1 species